rnacentral:lncRNA from 1 species
UUUUUUUUUUUUUUUCCCAUAUAUUUUUUUCUAUCUGAAGCCAUUUGCUAGUUUAAUUAUAAGUUGUUUCUGUGUGUAAGUUCUGUGCACCACACUUUAUGGUCAGUGUAGUCCUCCAGCAUAUAGCAUCUAUGAGCUGGCCUGGAAGCUCUCCUUUCAGCACACUUGCUUCUCACAUACUAUACAUUAAACGUUUAAAUGCCUUCAGUAGAAAUCAUAUGAAGCAAGCAAGAGUGAAUGUGAGUAGAAGGAAAUAGUCACACUUUUCCGGUUUAAUUAACCCUUGGUUUAACUUUUGGGUACAUUUUGUAUCCUUUCAGAUCUCUAGGUUAGACAGCAGUUAAGAUAUGAACAGUGGAAGUGGCUGGGGUCAAGCUCUGUUGUUUAAUCUUAGCUCUGGGGCGGGACAGGAAACCUGGGCUCGCUGAAACGCAGUUAGGAGACCAGGUCAUGCAAUUUUGUGACUAGGUCUUAUGACCUGGUCUUGUGACCAAUAUUAUGGGAAAUCCUGGUUUGAGCAGUUAAUCUAUAUGAGAUCAACCUUCCACCAAUCAAAAGGAAGGAUGUGACCAUGUGACAUAGGAAAUGUUUUACCACAACUGGAGAUCCUAUCCUCAGAACUUCACUGGUCUGUGAGAGCAAAUAUUUACUCUUAAUAAACUUCACUUUAUUCUAAUG